rnacentral:lncRNA from 1 species
GCAGAUAUAUAAAAGUGACUAUUGGAGAGGAUAAAGGAGCUCUUCUGUCUACCCCUUUUCUCCAGACUCCUCCCUGUGCUUUAAGACUGAGGGAAGAUAUGGUGCACCAGAGUGUAGUUGAAUGGUUCUGCCUAGGAUGAGUGCUUUUCUUCAGGUUACCAGAGGAGAAUGGCUUCAUUCUGAAGCCCAAUGUCAUUUCCCUGGUUGCAGAACAAGGUGCUUUGGUCGUAGCCUUCCUUGUGAAGAUGCCAGGGUCUGCACCUUAGUUCUUCUGUUUUCCACUCUGACCCACACAAGCCUUUCAGCUGUUGCCACACUAGGACAGCUUCACAUUUACUCCUGUUUUCCCAGUCUCCUCUUUUCCUUUGUGCUUUUAGAAACAGAGUAUAAACUCCUUCUGCCACUAUGAGCAUAUUAUUAUGGGGAAAGGUAGAUGUAACAUCUUUCUGUAGCAAGCGAGUAAAGUUCUAAACCCAGGAAGUCCCUGAGAUUGGCUUGGAGUUGCUUUAUUGCUGAACUUGUCCUUGAGCCUGUUGGGUUUUUCUUGAUUUUCUCAUCACUUAGUGAUAUGUCAGUCAAAGCCACUGGGCUUUUGAACUAAUAUAUUUAACUUUGUGGCUCUGUAGAAAAUAAAGGACUCCACUUUUGAAAACUGGAAGAAUAUUCGUGGUCCGAGGCCUUGGGAAGAUCCUCAACUCCUCCAAGGACGAAACCCAGAAACUCUUAAGCCUAAGACAACCUGACUGUGCUCAGGUUUUGUCUCGUUCUGGUUUUUCAAUGAAGUAGUCUCAUCUCCAUCUGUAGGAAGAAGAGUCCAGACCUGUGGAAACCUGGAUGUGAAUAAUAUGAUGGCAGAAACUUUUAUUAAAAAGUCACAUAU